AGCGGCAGGCCUAAUACAUGCAAGUCGAACGGUAACAUUGGUGCUUGCACCAGAUGACGAGUGGCGCACGGGUGCGUAACGCGUAUGCAAUCUACCUUUUACUAGAGUAUAGCCCAGAGAAAUUUGGAUUAAUCCUCUAUAAUAUCUUUUAAUUUCAUGAUUUUAAGAUUAAAGUUUUAACGGUAAAAGAUGAGCAUGCGUCCUAUUAGUUUGUAGGUGAGGUAACGGCUCACCUAGACUACGAUAGGUAGGGGCCCUGAGAGGGGGAUCCCCCACACUGGUACUGAGACACGGACCAGACUCCUACGGGAGGCAGCAGUAAGGAAUAUUGGACAAUGGACGAAAGUCUGAUCCAGCCAUGCCGCGUGCAGGAUGAAAGCCCUACGGGUUGUAAACUGCUUUUAUACAGGAAGAAACACUCCGACGUGUCGGAGCUUGACGGUACUGUAAGAAUAAGGAUCGGCUAACUCCGUGCCAGCAGCCGCGGUAAUACGGAGGAUCCAAGCGUUAUCCGGAAUCAUUGGGUUUAAAGGGUCCGCAGGCUGUUUUUUAAGUCAGAGGUGAAAUCCUACAGCUCAACUGUAGAACUGCCUUUGAUACUGAAAAACUUGAGUUACUGUGAAGUGGUUAGAAUGUGUGGUGUAGCGGUGAAAUGCAUAGAUAUCACACAGAAUACCGAUUGCGAAGGCAGAUCACUAACAGUAUACUG
rnacentral:rRNA from 1 species